rnacentral:misc_RNA from 1 species
AACGCACCUUGCGCCCACUGGCAAUCCGGUGGGCUUGCCUGUUCGAGCGUCAUUACACCUAUCGAGCCCGGCUUGGUGUUGGGAGUUGCCGUCCGCGCCGCGCGGACGCUCCCUAAAGCAGUCGGCAGCCGUGCCCGGCCUCAGACGUAGCGGGAAAUUCAUCCAUUUACACGUCUCCGGGGUCCGUAGUUUCGGUUCCGCCCCUAGUGAUUUUUGGACAUGCCACGACUGUUGACCUCGGAUCAGGUAGGAGUACCCGCUGAACUUAA